UGCACCUAAAAGCGUUUUCUCGCCAGCCCAUUCGAAAAUCGUAGAUGUGUGCCAGAGCAACCGUCGCAGUUGCAUGUGACUUAGAUUCACGAAUUUAAGUUGGGCUCAAUU